CCAGAACGACUUUAUCUUCAUACCUUUUCAUUCUAAGUUAAUACUGGAAAAAAUCAUGAUCGUGGUUUUAUUUUUUGCAUCCCCUUAGCAUUCUCUUCCUUAUUUUGUAAGAGCAAUAAGACGAUGUUCAUUAAGUGUUGAUGUGUUCAUCGCAUGAACCCAAACAGCUGUCAGUAGUGUUAUUAAUUACAUUGCCUCCUCUCUCAAAUCAAGUCAAAUCGCGAAAAAUAAUCUCGUCCUAGCGCUACGGACGUUGAGAUGCGGAGUCAUCCUCAAACGAUAAAUUUCGCGAAUAAAGUGGAUUUAAUGAUUCGAUCCUCACACUUACCUUCCAUGGUCUGCAGUACCCGGAAGCCAAGUGGAGUUCUUCAAACAACGUCUAUUCCAGUGCUUUCAUAAUAUUUUACGUCAAUCUUUAAUUGACCAAAUUCUCUUUCUAACUGUCAAUUUUCCUUCUUUUUUAUUUCUAGGAACUGGGCUUCAGAUCAGCGGAGGAGAAAACCCCCAAUGGUUUCCCUGUAUUAUCGAUUAACUCAUACGAGCUAGUGCCCACCCUCGCUUUGACGGUGCAUGGGGUGUAACACGGUGCAAGUUUUGCAUUGUAUUUAUCCACAGCAGAGGACUGUUUAAAAUUCCGUUUCAGUACCGUCUGACCAACUUUAUACACUGGAGCCAUUUUUUUACGACGUAAAUUGUAAUAUUGUGAAUUUUUGAG